GCACAAGCGGUGGAGCAUGUGGUUAAUUCGAAGCAACGCGAAGAACCUUACCAGGUCUUGACAUCCCUGACAACCCGAGAGAUCGGGCGUCCCCUUCGGGGGACAGGGUGACAGGUGGUGCAUGGUUGUCGUCAGCUCGUGUCGUGAGAUGUUGGGUUAAGUCCCGCAACGAGCGCAACCCUCGACCUUAGUUGCCAGCAUUCAGUUGGGCACUCUAAGAUGACUGCCGGCUAAAAGUCGGAGGAAGGUGGGAUGACGUCAAAUCAUCAUGCCCCUUAUGACCUGGGCUACACACGUGCUACAAUGGUCGGUACAGAGUGACGCGAAGCCGCGAGGUGGAGCAAAUCGCAGAAAGCCGGCCUUAGUUCGGAUUGGAGUCUGAAACUCGACUCCAUGAAGGUGGAAUCGCUAGUAAUCGCGUAUCAGCAUGGCGCGGUGAAUACGUUCCCGGGCCUU
rnacentral:rRNA from 1 species